rnacentral:lncRNA from 9 species
AAACUGGUUAGAAAAUUCUAGCAUUGCCAACAUAUUCUGUUCUCUUUUUCAGAGUAUAUGAGUAUCUAGAUGAUACUUAUGGGACAACUGGAGGCUGGGCCUGAUGAUUGACUUAGAUAACCUCCUUAGAGUACCUACAUUGUGACCAUAAAGUACUGUGCCCAUGGGAAAACUUUGCGGUCCUGAGGCAAAAGAUAAACUUCACGCUUGAUAAAAAAUACAACCAAAAGCAUUUAUAGAGAAGUUGUUUGUGAGCUGCUAUUCUGGGGAAAGUUUAUUCAUAAAAGAAGAAGAAAGGAAGAAAAAGAGAAGAAAGAAAGGUAUUUGCUUCAUGAUGUGGGGAACAUUUUCUGUAAUCCCUAGUACCUAAUACAGUGCCUGAUAUAG